CACACCUACGCACAAGUAUAAAUGCAUGGCUACGUGCACAGCCUACGGUGUAGGUACGUACGUAGACCCUACGCAGGAGUAUAAAUGGGCAAAAGGCUAUCGUUAUUGGGUUUACCCCUCCACGCGCCUGCGCGGAACUGAGAAAAGUUGUGUACGCCAACCCACAGCGUAGGCCUUUCCUGUGUCCACACCUUGUAAAUAUACAACGGUGAGACCCGGCCUUCGCUUCCCAUUUUUCUUCAGCACUGAGCUGUCUAAAGAGCAGAAGAAGAGCGAUGUCUUCUAGCAAGCCGUCCCGAGUGGGGCAUUCUGGCAACGGGCUUCGUCUUGCCGGUGGACCUCCAUCCCCAAUGCUGGGUGAGCCUCGGACCAUAGCACACCAGCUGAGUGCUCACCCCUGGUUCACUCUGCUUGUUCUGCGACCUUCUCUCCCCCAAAGAGAAGCAGCGUCUGGUGGAUCAUUUUGCCGCCGACCAGGGAGACCCCAUGUGUCCACGUUGCACCAACUUAGCUGCGGCUAAUGACAUCUAGCAACCGGUUUUAUUGCUGCUGGCCGACCCUCGACGGUCAGAGCGGACCACUGGAACAACAUGAGGUACACAUGAGAUGCAUCUGGCCCUUCAUGCCAACCCAGUGGACCUGCAAGAGGAUGACUGAUUUCUUCAAGACCCACAAUGAAAGUACUCAUUGUACUCACACAUCAAUAUCAAUGAAAUGUACUAUGGGAAACCAACUUUAAUGAUUCUUCCAGCAUUUGACAGACUGACAGACUUCACUCGAUAAAAAUCUUGGUAGCCUAUUACAUUACAAAUCACCGUGGAUAUUUUACAAGCAAGACCAGGUAAAGCAGCAGUGAACACACAGGGUGCAGAUGUUGGUUUCGGUUGUUUGAAAUGCUACGUCAUUAACAAGUAAGCAUGCAGCUCAACUGCUGCCGUGAUAACAGAUUGUGGGUGGAAAAAUACGGAAAAA